AAGUUAGCCCAAUUGCCUACGAGUCGAACAUGAUGAGCCCAGUGU
rnacentral:ribozyme from 1 species